UACAGAGGUCUCAAGCGUUGUUCGGAUUCAUUGGGCGUAAAGGGUGCGUAGGCGGCGCGGUAAGUCGGGUGUGAAAUCUCGGAGCUUAACUCCGAAACUGCAUUCGAUACUGCCGUGCUUGAGGACUGGAGAGGAGACUGGAAUUUACGGUGUAGCGGUGAAAUGCGUAGAUAUCGUAAGGAAGACCAGUGGCGAAGGCGGGUCUCUGGGCCGAUACUGACGCUGAGGAGCGAAAGCGCGGGGAGCGAACAGG
rnacentral:rRNA from 1 species